GCUUGUCUCAAAGAUUAAGCCAUGCAUGUCUAAGUAUAAACAAAUCUAUACGUGAAACUGCGAAUGGCUCAUUAUAUCAGUUAUAGUUUAUUUGAUGGUUCUUGCUACUUGGAUAACCGUAGUAAUUCUAGAGCUAAUACAUGCACAAAGGCCCGACUCACGAAGGGCUGUAUUUAUUAGAUUUAAAGCCGACAUCUUUUGGUGAUUCAUAAUAACUUUUCGAACCUCAUGCCUUUAUGGUGGAGGUGAUUCAUUCAAAUUUCUGCCCUAUCAACUUUCGAUGGUAAGGUAUUGGCUUACCAUGGUUGCAACGGGUAACGGAGAAUUAGGGUUCGAUUCCGGAGAGGGCGCCUGAGAAAUGGCGACCACAUCCAAGGAAGGCAGCAGG
rnacentral:rRNA from 1 species